rnacentral:misc_RNA from 1 species
GAUGAAGAACGCAGCGAAAUGCGAUAAGUAAUGUGAAUUGCAGAAUUCAGUGAAUCAUCGAAUCUUUGAACGCAUCUUGCGCUCCUUGGUAUUCCGAGGAGCAUGCCUGUUCGAGCGUCAUUAUCACCCCUCAAGCCCUGGCUUGGUGUUGGACUUUAGUUAUAGCUUUGCCUAUCAACUGGUCUCAAAGAUAGUGACGGCGCCCCAGAGGGAACCGGGUACGAGGAGCUUUUUACUAAGCAUGUAUCUGGGACGACUCUGGGCGACGGUCUUGUUAUACUUUUUACCUAAGUGUUGACCUCGGAUCAGGUAGGAAUACCCGCUGAACUUAAGCAUAUCAAUAAGCGGAGGA